AGGUUAAGUUAUUAAGGGCGCAUGGUGGAUGCCUUGGCACUAGGAGCCGAUGAAGGACGUGACUAACUGCGAUAAGCUUCGGGGAGUUGUAAGUAAACUGUGAUCCGGAGAUUUCCGAAUGGGGAAACCCAGCAGGAGUAAAGACCUGUUAUCACUGAGUGAAUACAUAGCUCAGUUGAAGGUAGACGUGGGGAACUGAAACAUCUAAGUACCCAUAGGAAGAGAAAGAAAAUUCGAUUCCCUGAGUAGCGGCGAGCGAAAAGGGAACAGCCCAAACCAGAGAGCUUGCUCUCUGGGGUUGUAGGACUGGACAUUUGAGUUACCAAGAAACGAAGUAGUUGAAUGAUUUGGGAAGAUCAGCCAGAGAAGGUGAUAGCCCUGUAAGCGAAACUUCGUUUCCUCAGCCCAGUAUCCUGAGUACGGCGGAACACGUGAAACUCCGUCGGAAUCCGGGAGGACCAUCUCCCAAGGCUAAAUACUCCCUAGUGACCGAUAGUGAACCAGUACCGUGAGGGAAAGGUGAAAAGCACCCCGGGAGGGGAGUGAAAUAGUUCCUGAAACCAUGUGCCUACAAGUAGUCAGAGCCCGUUAAUGGGUGAUGGCGUGCCUUUUGUAGAAUGAACCGGCGAGUUACGUUAGCGUGCGAGGUUAAGGCGCAAAGGCCGGAGCCGUAGCGAAAGCGAGUCUGAAUAGGGCGAAUGAGUACGUUGACGUAGACCCGAAACCAGGUGACCUACCCAU
rnacentral:rRNA from 1 species